rnacentral:rRNA from 1 species
AACGUAGGAGGCGAGCGUUAUCCGGAUUUACUGGGCGUAAAGCGUACGCAGGUGGCUUCGUUAGUCGGACAUGAAAGCUCCUGGCUUAACUGGGAGAGGUUGUUCGAUACUGCGGGGCUUGAGGUUGGGAGAGGGACGUGGAAUUCCCGGUGUAGUGGUGGAAUGCGUAGAUAUCGGGAGGAACACCAGUGGCGCAAGCGGCGUCCUGGCCCACACCUGACGCUGAGGUACGAAAGCGUGGGUAGCAAACAGG